rnacentral:rRNA from 1 species
CACGGGUGAGUAACACGUAGGUGACCUGCCAUUUAGCGGGGGAUAACCAGAAGAAAUUUUGGCUAAUACCGCAUACGAUCUACAAAUAUUAUAGUAGUAGAUGAAAUAGUGCCUCUGUAUAUGCACUAACUAAAUGAUGGGCCUGCGGUACAUUAGCUUGUUGGUGGGGUAAUGGCCUACCAAGGCGACGAUGUAUAUCCGGUCUGAGAGGAUGAUCGGACACACUGGAACUGAGACACGGUCCAGACUCCUACGGGAGGCAGCAGUGGGGAAUAUUGCGCAAUGGGGGAAACCCUGACGCAGCAACGCCGCGUGAGUGAGGAAGGACUUCGGUCUGUAAAGCUCUGUUAAUGUGGAAAAAUGCUUAGUGGUCUAAUAGGCCAUUAAGUUGAUGGUACACAUAGAGGAAGCACCGGCUAACUUCGUGCCAGCAGCCGCGGUAAUACGAAGGGUGCAAGCGUUGUUCGGAUUUAUUGGGCGUAAAGCGCACGUAGGCGGACCUAUAAGUCAGAUGUGAAAUCUCGGGGCUCAACCUCGAAACUGCGUCUGAAACUGUGGGUCUAGAAUCUUGGAGGGGGAAGGGGAAUUUCGCAUGUAGGGGUAAAAUCCGUAGAUAUGCGAAGGAACACCAGAGGCGAAGGCGCCUUCCUGGACAAGUAUUGACGCUGAGGUGCGAAAGCGUGGGGAUCAAACAGGAUUAGAUACCCUGGUAGUCCACGCUGUAAACGAUGAACACUAGGUAUUGGGGGAUUUGACCCCUUCAGUGCCGUAGCUAACGCAUUAAGUGUUCCGCCUGGGAAGUACGGUCGCAAGACUAAAACUCAAAGGAAUUGACGGGGGCCCGCACAAGCGGUGGAUUAUGUGGUUUAAUUCGAAGCAACGCGCAGAACCUUACCUAGGCUUGAAAUCCUACGAACCUGGCUUAAACGCUGGGGUGUCCUUCGGGAAAUGUAGUGACAGGCGCUGCAUGGCUGUCGUCAGCUCGUGUCGUGAGAUGUUGGGGUUAAGUCUC